GUUCGAAUUAGGAAGGGAUUAUGGUGGAUACCUAGGCACCCAAAGACGAGGAAGGGUGUGGUAAGUGACGAAAUGCUUUGGGGAGUUGAAAAUGAGCAUAGAUCUGGAGAUUCCCGAAUAGGUUAACCUUUUUAACUGUUGCUUAAUCCAUGGGUAGGCAAGAGACAACCUGGAGAACUGAAACAUCUUAGUAGCUAGAGGAAUAGAAACCAAAAGUGAUUCCUAUAGUAGAAGCGAGCGAAAUGGGAUCAUCCUAAAUCGUGAAAAUGGGGUUGUGGGAGAGCACAAUAUAACCUCUGUGCUACUAGGUGAAGUAGUUGAGUCCUGCACCCUAGAUGGUGAGAGUCUCGUAGCCAAAAUAAUCAUUGGGUUACGCUCUAACCCAAGUAGCAUGGGGCACGUGGAAUCCCAUGUGAAUCAGCAAGGACCACCUUGCAAGGAUAAAUACUCUUGGGUGAAUGAUAGCGAAGUAGUAUCGUGAGGGAAAGGUGAAAAGAACCCCCAUCGGGGAGUGAAAUAGAACAUGAAACUGUAAGAUUCCAAGCAGUGGGAGGAAAAUGAUAUCUCUGACCACGUGCAUGUUGAAGAAUGAGUCAGCAAAUUAUAGGCAGUGGCUUGGUUAAGGGAACCCACUGGAGCCGUAGUGAGAGCGAGUCUUCAUGGGGCAAUUGUCAUUGCUUAUGGACCCGAACCUAGGUGAUCUAUCCAUGACUAGGAUGAAGCUUGGGUGAAACCAAGUGGAGGUCUGAACUGAAUGAUGUUGAAAAAUCAGUAGAUGAGUCAUGGUUAGGGGUGAAAUUCCACUUGAACCCAGAGCUAGCUGGUUCUCCCUGAAAUGUGUUGAGGUGCAAUAGUUGAUUGAACCAUCUAGGGGUAAAGCACUGUUUCGGUAUGGUCCGCGAGAGCGGUACCAAAUUGAGGAAAACUCUGAAUACUAGAUUUCCCCAAUAAAAGGGGUAAAGGUCAGCCAAUGAGAUGAUGGGGGAUAAGCUUCAUCGUCGAGAGGGAAACAACCUAGAUCAUCAGCUAAGGCCCCUAAAUGACCGCUCAAUGAUGAAGGAAGUAUGAGUGCAAAGACAGCGAGGAGGUUUUCCUAGAAGCAACCAACCUUGAAAGAGUGCGUAAUAGCUCAUUGAUCGAGCACUCUUGCAUGGAAGAUGAACUAUACUAAGAGAUCUGUUGAAGCUGUGGGAUGUAAAAAUACAUCGGUAGGGGAGCGUUCAACCUCAGAGAGAAGCACUGGCGUGAGAAGGUGUGGACAAAGUGGAAGCGAGAAUGUCGGCUUGAUUAAUGCAAACAUUAGUGAGAAUCCAAUGCCCUAAAAACCUAAGGGUUCCUUCACAAGGUUCGUCCAUGGAGGGUGAGUCAGAGCCUUAGAUUAGGGAAAAAGGCAUAGUCGAUGGACUACAAGUUAAUAUUCCUGUACUACCCCUUUUUGGUCUCAAGGGAUGGAGGAGGCUAGGUUAGCCGAAAUAUGGUUAUCGAUUCAAGGACGCAAGGUGACCCUCUAUACAUUGAUUUAAAGGUAAAAGAAUAAUCAAAUAUAGGUGUGUACAAGGUGAGGUUGGGGGUGGAUAUUCCUCAUCAUCUACUCUAGCACACAAAAAUCCAAUAUGGCUUAUCCAAACAUUAUAGGAUGCACAAAAUCAUGUAGGAGCGCCCAUAUCAUCAAUGAGGGUGAGUAUACCUCCUAGGAGAUAUGUUAACCAUAUUGUAUUAGAUUCUUCCAUUUGUGAUCUUUACAAUUGUUUUGAGGAGGUGAUGUGUGAUACUUUGUUGGAUGAGUUUGAUGUUUUGGGGGUAGUUCCUUUCUGGGAGCCAGUGGUUGAUUUUGAGAUUGCAACAUGUUCAAAUUUGCAAAAAGAAAGUUUGUUUGAGUUGCAAAGGGAGAAAAAUUAUGUUAGUGAAAACACUUUCCUCAUAAAGAGGGUGUGUUUUAUUUCAAGGUUACUCUAAAAUUGUUUGAUUGAGUUGCAAAGGAAGCAUAAAGAUGUUGGUGAAAACACUUUCCUCAUAAAGAGGGAGUGUUUUCUUUUGAGGUUACUCCAAAAUUAAGUUACACCAUACUUAAGGGUGCUUCAUGUGAUGUGGGGUGCAUGGUGUAUUGAUAACCCUUAGUUGAUGUGAUGGACAUACACAUUGGAGUUAGCUUUCCCAUUGAUUGUAAGACCUUGUAUUGAUGCAUAUGUGGAAUUCUUCCUUGGAGCAUUGGAGACCUACAUGGCUAGUGGCUUUCUUCAUGAGACAAAAAUGGAGUUCGAUUGCUUCCUUGGGAUGAUGGUUUUCCUUGGAGGAGGAUAAUUGGGCAUCUUGGAGGAGGGAAUUGAACCCUAGAUGGCACGGGGUCACUUGGUUUCUUACAUGGAGACUUGGCAUUGACUUGAGGACACUUGGGUUGAAAACCAAUCAUGUAGGUGGCAUUGACCCAGAGGUAUACAUGGCCUAAGAGGGAGUGUUGGAGAAUUGGAGACCUUUGGAGGAGGAGUGUUACACACACCUCAUGGAGUGUUCAAUGUUCAAUCCUUGUUUGUUGGAUGUGCUUCCCUUGGAGCUUGGCAUGUGUGAGUUGGAGUUGGAGUGAUCCACAUGUGGGGACAUUUAGUAAUUAGAUAGACUUUUUGUUGUAGACUUGAUCCACUUUAUGAUUUUUUCCUUCCUUGACUUUCAUAAAAAAAAAUUGAGAAGGUAUUUUCAUCACUUGUACUUCUUCACUCAUAGACUGACAGCUUGCAUUAGAGAUGUGGGACUAGGGUGAACUUGUCUUCUUAUACUCUUCUUCAUGUGUAUUUUCUUUAUGUUUGAAUCAUCCUUAGAGUUUCUUGUCAUAAGUAGUAUUUAAUUUUCUGUUCUGCAUUACUUCUCUAAUUCUAAUAAAAGCACAAUGAAAAUGAUCUCUAAAUAGAGGAAGGUCAUCUCUUUAGUUGAUAAAAUUAGGGAAAGUAAGAAAUAUGGAGAAAACGAAGAGAAGGGAUCUUCAUGGAGAAAAAAAGAGUGAACCCUAACCCUAACUCAAUUGGAGUCUUGUGAUUUUAGGGACAAAGCCCAUGAAAUUACCAUUUUCGACGGCCUCCUUCUCUUUCUCUAUCGCUCGAGCUUUUAUGUGGAUCUUGGUCUCCUUAUCUGUGGCUAUCCCUUGAGUUUCUCUUUCCCAACUCCUUCUAUGUGUCUUGGCCUCCUCUUUCCCUAUCUCUUGCCCUCCUCUUGGCCUACUUCUCUUGCCCAACGUCUAUUAUCUUAUAUGUUGCACGAGUGUAGUGUGAGUGUGCUCUGGCUCUUUCCCUCCUCUUUGCCUCCUUCUCUGUCGCGUGAGUGCAGUGUGAGUGUGAUCUAGCUCUUGCCCUGAUCGUCUUUGCAUCCUUCUCUGUCACGCGAGUGUAGUGUGAGUUUUCUCUAGCUCUUUCCCUCCUCUUCGCAUCCUUCUAUGUCAAGUGAGUGUGUAUUUUGGGUUCUAAUUUGAUCAUGAGUGUGAGAUGUGCGAGCACGAGUCAUGUAGUCUUUAAUUUGUUUGUUUU
rfam:Picea glauca, whole genome shotgun sequence.